ACGCGAGCUGGGUUCAGAACGUCGGGAGACAGUUCGGCCCCUAUCCGUCGCAGGCGUAGGAAAUUGUGGGAGACCUGUCCUUAGUACGAGGGGACCGGGAUGGACGUACCUCUGGUGUACCAGUUGUCCUGCCAAGGGCAUGGCUGGGUAGCUAGGUACGGAAUGGAUAAGCGCUGAAAGCAUCUAAGCGCGAAGCCAACUUCAAGAUAAGAUUUCCCACCGCAAGGGUAAGACCCCAGAAAGACUAUCUGGUUGAUAGGUCGAAGGUGUAAGUGCAGCAAUGUAUUUAGGUUAUCGAUACUAAUAGGUCGAGGACUUGACCA
rnacentral:rRNA from 1 species